rnacentral:misc_RNA from 1 species
CUCCUUCAAACUUCUAGUUUGGAUUUGGGCUUGGGGAAGCUUAUACCCAGCCUGAAAUAGUGGGUGAAACAUAUGUCUAUUAGGUUUUACACAAUGAGUUAGGUUCUGCCAGUUCGUUGAAUAAAAUCUAUGUGAAGAUGCUUCAAUACCAGCCCAUUUUAUACCCCCCAA